rnacentral:rRNA from 1 species
AUACGGAGGGUGCAAGCGUUAAUCGGAAUUACUGGGCGUAAAGCGCACGCAGGCGGUUGGAUAAGUUAGAUGUGAAACGCCCCGGGCUCAACCGUGGGAAUUGCAAUUUAAAACUGUCCAGCUAGAGUCUUGUAGAGGGGGGUAGAAUUCCAGGUGUAGCGGUGAAAUGCGUAGAGAUCUGGAGGAAUACCGGUGGCGAAGGCGGCCCCCUGGACAAAGACUGACGCUCAGGUGCGAAAGCGUGGGGAGC